rnacentral:rRNA from 1 species
GCCAGAGGGUGCAAACGUUGUUCGGAAUUACUGGGCGUAAAGCGUGUGUAGGCGGCCACGCAAGUCGGCUGUGAAAGCCCAGGGCUCAACCCUGGAAGUGCACUCGAUACUGCCUGGCUUGAGUAUCGGAGAGGUUGGUGGAAUUCUCGGUGUAGAGGUGAAAUUCGUAGAUAUCGAGAGGAACACCGGUGGCGAAGGCGGCCAACUGGACGAAUACUGACGCUGAGACACGAAAGCGUGGGGAGCAAACAGG